ACGCACACACACACACACACACACACACACACGGGGUGAAGCGCUCCUCCUGCGCGGUGCUGCCAUGUUUUCCUUCACGAGAACGCGCUGUAUUUACUGGGCGCGUGAGGCGUCACCUCGCUGCGGUCCCCGCGCUGCGGCCGCAGGCCGCGGGGAACCUCUUCAAGCAGCCCGGGUGCUCGUCUCACGUGACGGGGGCUCGUCCGUUGACCUCGCGCGCGCUGCAUCCCGCCUGUCAAGCCGAAAACAAACGGUUGGAGAGCAGAGUUGAUGGCGUCAGAUGGAGGAAGAACAUCCACCUGUCAGCGCUGAGGCUGGAGACGGCCACCCCCGUGCCGAUAAGCGAGCUGUCUGAAGGCGCCUAUGACGAGCUGGCCGAGGAGACGCUGGACGCCCUGAGCGAUUACCUGGAGGACCUGGCGGACUCGCCUUUCACUGAAGCCGACUACGACGUUGUCUUCUCCGUAAGUUCUUCUGUUUCACAUGGGAUCGUCUCUCUACACAGCUCUGUUUUCACCCACUGUCAGCAGGCGUUAGGACGUUUGUCCGUGUGUUGAAGGUCACAGUUGGGUCAUAACCAGCAGUGUCUUCAUGCUACGUCCUCGGCGCUGUCCACCAAGAGUCUGUGAGAAGGUGACUACCUCUCGCUUGAUCCUUUCCCUCCGUAAACACGAGUCUUCUUCAAUACAGCGCGAUGUUCACUUAGAGUCAAACCCACCUUAAAGCAGCGUGUGCUUCAGGGCCGAAGCAUCCGGCAAAUCCAAAGCGUUUGAGGCGUUUCAUCAGAGCCUCACGUGGAGCCUCUGAAGGCUUCAUGAAUACAAUCAGCAGAACCCCUUUGAACACACUGCUGCGCAGCCCCCUUGGACCACCUGCAGUGGGACGGGGUGGACAGGGAAGUGGGCUGUGACCUGUGGUGUCCUCAGGCUAAUGUUAAGCUGUGGUUACCGGUUGGGUCAUUUGGGGUCAAGGUUCACGGUUAAGCCUAGUUUAUGCUUCUGCGUUUUCACGCGGAUGCAGGACCCCCUUGCGUGUCGUCCCUUGUAGCUUCAAAAGCUACGCAGCCUCCUGUGAUUGGUCUCUGACUGUGUCCUUUACGGAGUCUCACGUCUCCGUUUUCACAGCACGAUACGGCCGUUAUUAAAAGGACGAAUGUUGAC